AUGAACGCUAGCGAUAGGCUUAACCCAUGCAAGUCGAGGGGCAGCAUGGUCUUAGCUUGCUAAGACUGAUGGCGACCGGCGCACGGGUGCGUAACGCGUAUGCAACUUGCCUCACAGAGGGGGAUAACCCGUCGAAAGACGGACUAAUACCGCGUACACUUGGGAUAGGGCAUCCUGACCCAAGGAAAUGAAAUUCGCUGUGAGAUAGGCAUGCGUCCCAUUAGCUAGUUGGUGAGGUAACGGCUCACCAAGGCGACGAUGGGUAGGGGAACUGAGAGGUUGAACCCCCACACUGGUACUGAGACACGGACCAGACUCCUACGGGAGGCAGCAGUGAGGAAUAUUGGUCAAUGGGCGAGAGCCUGAACCAGCCAAGUCGCGUGAAGGAUGACUGUCCUAUGGAUUGUAAACUUCUUUUAUACGGGAAUAACAAGAGUCACGUGUGGCUCCCUGCAUGUACCGUAUGAAUAAGCAUCGGCUAACUCCGUG
rnacentral:rRNA from 1 species